rnacentral:rRNA from 1 species
CAGUAGCCGCGGUAAUACGUAGGGUGCAAGCGUUAAUCGGAAUUACUGGGCGUAAAGCGUGCGCAGGCGGUUUGUUAAGACAGAUGUGAAAUCCCCGGGCUUAACCUGGGAGCUGCAUUUGUGACUGGCAAGCUAGAGUAUGGCAGAGGGGGGUGGAAUUCCGCGUGUAGCAGUGAAAUGCGUAGAUAUGCGGAGGAACACCGAUGGCGAAGGCAGCCCCCUGGGCCAAUACUGACGCUCAUGCACGAAAGCGUGGGGAGCAAACAGGAUUAGAUACCCCCGUAGUCCCUGUCUCUUAUAC